UGCAAGUCGAACGAGAGUUUUUAACUCUAGUGGCGGACGGGUGAGUAACGCGUGAGAAUCUGCUCUAAGGAGGGGAAUAACAGCUGGAAACGGUUGCUAAUACCCCAUAUGCCGAGAGGUGAAAGGAUGUAUCCACCUUAGAAAGAGCUCGCGUCUGAUUAGCUAGUUGGUGAGGUAACGGCUCACCAAGGCCAUGAUCAGUAGCUGGUUUGAGAGGACGAUCAGCCACACUGGGACUGAGACACGGCCCAGACUCCUACGGGAGGCAGCAGUGGGGAAUUUUCCGCAAUGGGCGAAAGCCUGACGGAGCGAUACCGCGUGAGGGAUGAAAGCCUGUGGGUUGUAAACCUCUUUUCUCAAGGAAGAAGUUCUGACGGUACUUGAGGAAUAAGCAUCGGCUAACUCUGUGCCAGCAGGCGCGGUAAUACAGAGGAUGCAAGCGUUAUCCGGAAUCACUGGGCAUAAAGCGUCUGUAGGUGGUUUAGUAAGUCUGUUGUUAAAGACUAGGGCUUAACCCUAGGAAAGCAAUGGAAACUACUAGACUUGAGUAUGGUAGAGGUAGAGGGAAUUCCUAGUGUAGCGGUGAAAUGCGUAGAUAUUAGGAAGAACACCAAUGGCGAAAGCACUCUACUGGGCCAUAACUGACACUGAGAGACGACAGCUAGGGGAGCAAAUGGGAUUAGAUACCCCAGUAGUUCUA
rnacentral:rRNA from 1 species